rnacentral:rRNA from 1 species
ACGAACGCUGGCGGCGUGCUUCCACAUGCAAGUCGAACGGGGCAGAGUGAUAGCUUGCUAUUAUGAUGCUUAGUGGCAAACGGGUGAGUAACGCGUAGGCAACCUGCCCUCCGGAUGGGGACAACACUCCGAAAGGGGGGGGGAGACCGAAUGAAGUAUUCUGGUCACAUGACCGGGAUACCAAAGGCCGGGCAACCGGCCACCGGGGGAUGGGCCUGCGUCUGAUUAGCUGGUUGGCGGGGUAACGGCCCACCAAGGCGACGAUCAGUAGCCGGUCUGAGAGGAUGAACGGCCACAUUGGGACUGAGACACGGCCCAAACUCCUACGGGAGGCAGCAGUGGGGAAUCUUCCGCAAUGGGCGCAAGCCUGACGGAGCAACGCCGCGUGAGUGAAGAAGGUUUUCGGAUCGUAAAGCUCUGUUGAGAGGGACGAGAGAUGCGUUUAGGAAAUGAGGCGCAGAGGACGGUACCUUUCGAGGAAGCCACGGCUAACUACGUGCCAGCAGCCGCGGUAAUACGUAGGUGGCGAGCGUUGUCCGGAAUUAUUGGGCGUAAAGGGAGCGCAGGUGGGAUAGUAGUCAGUCUUAAAAGUUCGGGGCUUAACCCCGUGAUGGGAUUGAAACUAUUAUUCUUGAGUGCAGGAGAGGAAAGCGGAAUUCCUAGUGUAGCGGUGAAAUGCGUAGAUAUUAGGAGGAACACCAGUGGCGAAGGCGGCUUUCUGGACUGUAACUGACACUGAGGCUCGAAAGCGUGGGGAGCGAACAGGAUUAGAUACCCUGGUAGUCCACGCCGUAAACGAUGGAUACUAGGUGUAGGAGGUAUCGACCCCUUCUGUGCCGGAGUUAACGCAAUAAGUAUCCCGCCUGGGGAGUACGGUCGCAAGACUGCAACUCAAAUGAAUUGACGGA